UUAGUGCAUACAUAUGGUAUGAACAUGUAACAUAAAUAUGGCGAUGUCCUGACGUGUCUUUGAGGUGUUCGACCCUCAGAUUUUUUGGAUAGUGGAUUUUGGCAGUGCCGACAAGAAAAGCGGAGGCUACUGUGGCCCCAUUAUUCUCCUCUUUUCACGCGGAAAAGCCCAGUGAAGAAUGGACAGUAAAGUCACGAGGUCGCCAAGCUGCUGCAACACCACAUUUGACACCGAAGAAAACCGAACAGCAAUCUGAAUCCGAAUGGCGAAUUGCGAAGCUCACAUUUACGAUGUGUUUGGCCUUGACAUAUUAAUGGGCUUGACAGGUUGUGUGAUAUGCCAUUGAAUUUCUCAUUUGUAUAUAGAGUGUGGAAUCCUGUAAGUAUUGCUGAAUACUAGCUCCGGUCAACAUUUGGUCUAGAGCUCUGCGGAUGCAUUUUUUGCUAUACUUUCUCGCUAGAAGCCGUUCUAUAGUGGUCACUCGGAGGAUCAUAAAUCUUUAACACUAUUUGUUACGUCUCUGAGAUUGCGAGUCGGCUACCGAUGUCAGUCAACAACGCAGUUUCUUUAUUGGAAUUGUGUGGUCCUGCCGGAGAUCCGCUGGCCUUUGUCCAUGACAGAAGAGUGACUUGCACGACCAACGUUCUGCUCCAUCCUUAUCUUCGCGAAGCUCAUCUAGCUUCACUGUGACUUAGGCUGCUACACAACUUACAGUUUUCUUACUUUACUGACGAGUUGGACCACUUUCGUCCGCUGUGAUACACCUGUAGUCCCUCACCCAUGCCCAGGUACCCGUGGCUUUAUUUGAUAAGCCUUUGAUCAUUUUCACCUGUCAAAUUCAAAUUAGUCAGUUUCAGUUACUUUGCACAUCCCUGUAAAAAUGUAUCCGCAGUUAUUGUGUGGUAAUUUUUUGAUGAUGACUGACGAUAACUAUUCCACCAACAAAGCUCACUUGUUAAUUUUUCGAUAAUUGCUUUUUUUUUUAUCUACUAUGUAUUUUACGGAGAUGACGAAUAUUUCCGUCCGACUCUAGUUAGUCGUCCUCGUCCAUCGAUGCAAAGUGCUGUCACUAGGUGGCUAAAUAUUUCAGUGUGUUUAGGGAUUGAACUAUUCAGCCCAGUUUGUUGGUAUUAGGGGAGGGGAGGGGGCAUCAAAUCAAAGUUUUCAGACGACUGACAUCUCUAUUUCUUUUCCAUCGAGACGCUGUCGAGUCGUAGUCAUUGCGGCCUUUGCGGGGUACUUUCUUUCCUGAUAUGUUCAUCAUAAAAAAGGUUGGUGGAAUUUGUUCUCAAUGUGUAGUGCCAAUUCAACAAGAUGCCUCUGUGAUCAUGCCUUUGAAGAGGUCUCUUAUCAUGUUGCGAGAUGAAAAUGUGAAGAAAAGGGAAGUAAACUACUUGUAAUAAGACAACUUGAGUGGGAAUUCUUGGUCAGGCUGGUGUUGGAGUUGUUAAUGGUGGUGAUGUCUGGUGUGCAUUGGUGUGGCAGUCAUUUUCCAAAAUAAGGGAUGUGCUGAAAUGGAUCUUCUGCAGACUUGAAAGUUUAACAUCAGGCUUAAAUUUACCAUGUUGGUGUCCAUGCAGUGUUCAGCUGUUGUGUAAAAUAAUUGGUGUUUCCUAAAGGCUGUCUGGCAUUUUGUUGGUGUAUUCUCUUGAUACCUGUACCCACUUUGGGUUCAAUCGUACGCCGCCGUUCCAGACUUGAUCUAUUGGUGAAGCCGAGAAGAAGUUGCUGAAAUUCAAAACCAUUAUAUUAUUUAUAUUGAGAGAAAUUUAAAAUGUCAAUCUAUUGUUCCUUCCCCUAAGUGAUCUCUGUUAACUAAUAAUAUUGUGAAAACUAGGAACGUCAAGAUGGAAUGAAUAAUUGCCACGACAUUUUUUAUAUUUUAUGGGAAGAAAAUUCUUAUGCUGUAAUCAACUACUGCUACUAUAUAUAUACUACUAUAACUACUGCUACUAUAUUGUAAUCAAACUUGUUAUAAUACUACAACUAUUCCAUUUUAA